GUGGACAAUUCGGGUUGCUAUUGAUGCUACAAGAGAUGAUAAAGAAAAGGUUAAAUGAAAGCGUCUCUGAGGUGCAGCCUGCAGAACACUCCCACACUAGGAAGCAUUCUGAGUGGUGUGAAAAAGCACGUGUCCAUUGUAUUUCCAGUGGAUGGAGAUUGUUUCUGAACAUGAGAGGAUCAUGAGGCAAUAGGGAAUAAGAAACACAGAAGAACUGGAAAACCUCUAACUAUCUGGAAACGAAUCAGUAUUUUCUUGAGCAGCAUACUUACAUCAGUUACCAUUGCACUUGGAAUGUACACAAAACACGUCGUUCCCUGUCUCUCCCCCCGUGCUCCGUCCCCAGUGGAGGGAUACGUCGAAUAGGCUGAAGCCCGAUGCUAGUGACAGUUCCAGAGAAUGGAGAUUUG